GACGAACGCUGGCGGCGUGCUUAACACAUGCAAGUCGAACGGAAAGGCCCUGCUUUUGUGGGGUGCUCGAGUGGCGAACGGGUGAGUAACACGUGAGUAACCUGCCCUUGACUUUGGGAUAACUUCAGGAAACUGGGGCUAAUACCGGAUAGGAGCUCCUGCUGCAUGGUGGGGGUUGGAAAGUUUCGGCGGUUGGGGAUGGACUCGCGGCUUAUCAGCUUGUUGGUGGGGUAGUGGCUUACCAAGGCUUUGACGGGUAGCCGGCCUGAGAGGGUGACCGGCCACAUUGGGACUGAGAGACGGCCCAGACUCCUACGUGAGGCAGCAGUGGGGAAUAUUGCACAAUGGGCGGAAGCCUGAUGCAGCAACGCCGCGUGCGGGAUGACGGCCUUCUGGUUGUAAACCGAUUUCGCCUGUGACGAAGCGUGAGUGACGGUAAUGGGUAAUGAAGCACCGGCUAACUACGUG
rnacentral:rRNA from 1 species